rnacentral:rRNA from 1 species
AUUGAACGCUGGCGGCAGGCCUAACACAUGCAAGUCGAACGAGUGGCGGACGGGUGAGUAAUGUCUGGGAAACUGCCCGAUAGAGGGGGAUAACUACUGGAAACGGUAGCUAAUACCACAUACCAUGGGAUGUGCCCAGAUGGGAUUAGCUAAUAGGUGGGGUAAAGGCUCACUUAGGCGACGAUCCCUAGCUGGUCUGAGAGGAUGACCAGCCACACUGGAACUGAGACACGUUCCAGACUCCUACGGGAGGCAGCAGUGGGGAAUAUUGCACAAUGGGCGCAAUCCUGAGGCAGCCAUGCCGCGUGUGUGAAGAAGGCCUUCGGGUUGUAAAGCACUUUCAGCGAGGAGGCGUUACUCGCAGAAGAAGCACCGGCUAACUCCGUGCCAGCAGCCGCGGUAAUAC